rnacentral:rRNA from 1 species
GAGUGGCGACGGGUGAGUACACGUGGGUGAUCUGCCCUGCNCUCUGGGAUANGCCUGGGAAACUGGGUCUAAUACCGGAUAUGACCAACUGUCGCAUGGUGGUUGGUGGAAAGCUUUUGCGGUGUGGGAUGGGCCCGCGGCCUAUCAGCUUGUUGGUGGGGUAAUGGCCUACCAAGGCGACGACGGGUAGCCGACCUGAGAGGGUGAUCGGCCACACUGGGACUGAGACACGGCCCAGACUCCUACGGGAGGCAGCAGUGGGGAAUAUUGCACAAUGGGCGGAAGCCUGAUGCAGCGACGCCGCGUGAGGGAUGACGGCCUUCGGGUUGUAAACCUCUUUCACCAGGGACGAAGCGUGAGUGACGGUACCUGGAGAAGAAGCACCGGCCAACUACGUGCCAGCAGCCGCGGUAAUACGUANGGUGCGAGCGUUGUCCGGAAUUACUGGGCGUAAAGAGCUCGUANGCGGUUUGUCGCGUCGUCUGUGAAAUUCUGCAACUCAAUUGCAGGCGUGCAGGCGAUACGGGCAGACUUGAGUACUACAGGGGAGACUGG